CUGGGCUUAAAUGUAGAGCGACAGAUUGUGAAAGCAGUCCUUCUUCGGACGAUCUACAAGGUGCUGCAUGGUUGUCGUCAGCUCGUGCCGUGAGGUGUCGGGUUAAGUCCCAUAACGAGCGCAACCCUUAUCGUUAGUUGCCAGCGGGUCAAGCCGGGGACUCUAGCGAGACUGCCACCGUAAGGUGUGAGGAAGGUGGGGAUGACGUCAAAUCAGCACGGCCCUUAUGUCCAGGGCUACACACGUGUUACAAUGGCCAAUACAAAGGGCAGCUACCGGGUGACCGGAUGCUAAUCUCUAAAGUUGGUCUCAGUUCGGAUCGAAGUCUGCAACCCGACUUCGUGAAGCUGGAUUCGCUAGUAAUCGCAUAUCAGCCAUGAUGCGGUGAAUACGUUCC
rnacentral:rRNA from 1 species